UACGAAGGGGGCUAGCGUUGCUCGGAAUGACUGGGCGUAAAGGGCGCGUAGGCGGCUCAUACAGUCAGGCGUGAAAUUCCUGGGCUCAACCUGGGGACUGCGCUUGAGACGUGUGGGCUUGAGUGGGGAAGAGGGUCGUGGAAUUCCCAGUGUAGAGGUGAAAUUCGUAGAUAUUGGGAAGAACACCGGGUGGCGAAGGCGGCGACCUGGUCCUUGACUGACGCUGAGGCGCGAAAGCGUGGGGAGCAAACAGG
rnacentral:rRNA from 1 species